GAGGUCUGCAGUUUACCAAACAUUUGCAAUUAUUUGGAUUCAGGUCAAGGGCAUGUGAGAAAUUUCAAGUGUUGAGUAUUGACCUGACCAUCCGUUUGCACCUAUCACACCGAAUAAGCUAUUCGAAAUGCCUAUUUCAAGAAUCAAGGGUGUCAUGGUGGGAUUUUCCAACUUGUGUUUGAAAGCUGCAUUUGGCACCAUUAGCUGGC